AACGAACGCUGGCGGCAGGCUUAGCACAUGCAAGUCGAACGGAUCCUUCGGGAUUAGUGGCAGACGGGUGAGUAACGCGUGGGAACGUACCCUUUGCUACGGAAUAACUCAGGGAAACUUGAGCUAAUACCGUAUGUGCCCUACGGGGGAAAGAUUUAUCGGCAAAGGAUCGGCCCGCGUUGGAUUAGCUAGUUGGUGGGGUAAUGGCCUACCAAGGCGACGAUCCAUAGCUGGUCUGAGAGGAUGAUCAGCCACACUGGGACUGAGACACGGCCCAGACUCCUACGGGAGGCAGCAGUGGGGAAUAUUGGACAAUGGGCGCAAGCCUGAUCCAGCCAUGCCGCGUGAGUGAUGAAGGUCUUAGGAUUGUAAAGCUCUUUCACCGGUGAAGAUAAUGACGGUAGCCGGAGAAGAAGCCCCGGCUAACUUCGUG
rnacentral:rRNA from 1 species